rnacentral:rRNA from 1 species
CCCUACGGGGGGCAGCAGUAAGGAAUAUUGGUCAAUGGACGCAAGUCUGAACCAGCCAUGCCGCGUGAAGGAUGACGGCCCUCUGGGUUGUAAACUUCUUUUAUCUGGGACGAAAAAAGGGUAUUCUUACUCACUUGACGGUACCAGAGGAAUAAGCACCGGCUAACUCCGUGCCAGCAGCCGCGGUAAUACGGAGGGUGCAAGCGUUAUCCGGAUUUACUGGGUUUAAAGGGUGCGUAGGUGGGUUGGUAAGUCAGUGGUGAAAUCUCCGAGCUUAACUCGGAAACUGCCAUUGAUACUAUCAAUCUUGAAUACUUUGGAGGUAAGCGGAAUAUGUCAUGUAGCGGUGAAAUGCUUAGAUAUGACAUAGAACACCAAUUGCGAAGGCAGCUUACUACACAGUCAUUGACACUGAGGCACGAAAGCGUGGGGAUCAAACAGGAUUAGAUACCCUGGU